CCAGUGCGCAGGCGCAAGAGCCUCCCUAUGGUUAUAUAAGGGAAGUCCCGGGUUCACUUCGUUCUUUUGCGUCUGCGGUGCAUUGACUUCUUUAUCGUUUCGUUCCCGUUGGUCGUCCGAUGUCGUCCCGCCCUGGGAACCUGGGGCUACUGCUGUGUAUGGUUAGCGCGAUCACAAUGGAUCUUGAAAGAGAGGAUCGUUGCUGGGCCUUCAGCGGAACCCCGUGUAGACAUCUUAAACCUUCGAUAUCAUGAUCUCUGGGUGUUUUCUUCUCAGGUUUACUGUUUUCAGAAAGCAGAUUUUGAAGGAAGCAGGAUGAAUCCAGGAGUGGCAGAGGAUUGAUUGGGAGUCCUGAGAGCCGCUGGGCAAUAAGUAGGUUGAUGCAGCCUGAUCAUCCCCUUGGCUUGGUUCAGUCUGUCCUGUAACAGGAGUUUUUCACCGAUGGCAUUGGAAUACAAGAUCUCUUGAAAAAGAUUGACCCUUUUUUUCCUGAGAAAGCAUAAUAUAACUGUAGCUUUUCUAUCUGGAGAAGGAAAAUAAAGAAUCCUUUAAGUCAAAA